AUGUAGCUCAGUGGUAGAGUUUGUGCUUAGCAUGCACCAGGUCCUGGGUUUGAUCCCCAGCAU
rnacentral:tRNA from 1 species